GACGAACGCUGGCGGCGUGCUUAACACAUGCAAGUCGAACGGAAAGGCCCUGCUCUUGUGGGGUGCUCGAGUGGCGAACGGGUGAGUAACACGUGAGUAACCUGCCCUUGACUUUGGGAUAACUUCAGGAAACUGGGGCUAAUACCGGAUAGGAGCUCCUGCUGCAUGGGGUGGGUUGGAAAGUUUCGGCGGUUGGGGAUGUACUCGCUGCUUAUCAGCUUGUUGGUGGGGUAGUGGCUUACCAAGGCUUUGACGGGUAGCCGGCCUGAGAGGGUGACCGGCCACACUGGGACUGAGAUACGGCACAGACUCCUACGGGAGCGAGAAGUGGGGAAUACUGCACAAUGGGCGGAAGCCUAAUGCAGCAACGCCGCGUGCGGGAUGACGGCCUUCGGGUUGUAAACCGCUUUCGCACGUGACGAUGCGUGAGUGACGGUAAUGUGUAAAGAAGGCCCGGCUAACUACGUG
rnacentral:rRNA from 1 species